UCAAGCUAAUAAGAGCGCAGGGUGGAUGCCUUGGCACUAAGAGCCGAUGAAAGACGUGAUAAGCUGCGAAAAGCUUCGGGGAGGAGCAAAUAUCCAUUGAUCCGGAGAUAUCUGAAUGGGGAAACCCGGCUGAGAAGCCCUCAGCCACUGUAUGGUGAAUCCAUAGCCAUACAGAGGGAACCCGGUGAACUGAAACAUCUAAGUAGCCGGAGGAAGAGAAAGAAACAUCGAUUCCGGAAGUAGCGGCGAGCGAACCCGGAAGAGCCCAAACCAGCGUGCGUGCAUGCUGGGGUUAAGGACUGCAUAAGUGAGCUGAUUCGUUAGUGGAACUGCCUGGGAAGGCGGGCCGGAGAGGGUGAAAGCCCCGUACAUGAAAACGAUAGGCAGCGGCAGGAUCCAGAGUACCGCGAGACACGAGAAACCUUGCGGGAAGUCGGAGGGACCACCCUCCAAGGCUAAAUACUCCUUAGUGACCGAUAGCGCAUAGUACUGUGAAGGAAAGGUGAAAAGGACCCCGGGAGGGGAGUGAAAGAGAACCUGAAACCCUGUGUUUACAAACUGUGGGAGCACGUUAAGGUGCGACCGCGUACUUUUUGUAGAACGGUCCGGCGAGUUGCCGGUGCUGGCGAGGUUAAAUGGUAGAGCCAUGGAGCCGAAGGGAGACCAAGUCUCAAAUGGGCGUAAAGUCAGCACAGGCAGACCCGAAACCGGGUGACCUAUCCAUGUCCAGGAUGAAGCGGAAGUAAAAUUCCGUGGAGGUCCGGAUCCACAUCCGUUGAAAAGGGUGGGAAUGAGGUGUGGAUAGGGGAGAAAUUCCAAUCGAACCCGGAGAUAGCUGGUUCUCCUCGAAAUAGCUUUAGGGCUAGCCCCGUAUUAGUUUAGCGGAGGUAGAGCACUGAAUUCCUAAGGGGGCGUCAAAGCUUACCAAGGGAUAUCAAACUCCGAAUGCCGCAUAAAUGAUGUACGGGAGUCAGACUGCACGAGAUAAGUUGGGCAGUCAAAAGGGAAAGAGCCCAGACCUACAGCUAAGGUCCCAAAGUGUGUGUUAAGUGGAAAAGGAUGUGGGAUUUCAGAGACAACUAGGAUGUUGGCUUAGAAGCAGCCACACAUUCAAAGAGUGCGUAAUAGCUCACUAGUCGAGAGGUCCUGCGCCGAAAAUGUCCGGGGCUGAAACACAACACCGAAGCUUAGGAAUGUAGUGAUACAUUGGUAGAGGAGCAUUCUUAAAGGGAAGAAGCAGUACCGACAAGGAGCUGUGGACAUUUAAGAAGAGAGAAUGCCGGAAUGAGUAGCGAGAUGGAGGUGGGAAUCCUCCAGGCCGAAUAUCCAAGGUUUCCAGAGUAAAGCUGAUCUGCUCUGGGUAAGUCGGGGCCUAAGGUAAGGCUGAGAAGCGUAGCCGAUGGACAACAGGUUGAGAUUCCUGUACCGCGUAUCAUCAGAACUGUGGGGACACAGAAGGACAGCACAGCCCGGGAAUGGAAAGACCGGGGCAAGCAGGGUAGGAGUCAAGCUGGCAAAUCCGCUUGACGAUCCGAAGCUGUGAUGCGGAGCGAAUUAAAGUAGCGAAGUGUGUGAUUCCGGCUGUCAAGAAAAGCCGCUAUUGUGUGAUACGUGCCCGUACCGUAAACCGACACAGGUAGAUGAGGAGAGAAUCCUAAGGCCGGCGGGAGAAGCAUUGUUAAGGAACUCGGCAAAAUGACCCUGUAACUUCGGGAGAAAGGGUGCCUGGGAAACCAGGCCGCAGAGAAUAGGCUCAAGCAACUGUUUAGCAAAAACACAGGUCUAUGCAAAACCGUAAGGUGAGGUAUAUGGGCUGACGCCUGCCCGGUGCUGGAAGGUUAAGAGGAGGGGUUAGCGCAAGCGAAGCUCUGAAUUGAAGCCCCAGUAAACGGCGGCCGUAACUAUAACGGUCCUAAGGUAGCGAAAUUCCUUGUCGGGUAAGUUCCGACCCGCACGAAAGGCGUAAUGAUUUGAGCGCUGUCUCGACAAUGCACCCGGUGAAAUUGAAAUACCAGUGAAGAUGCUGGUUACCCGCGCCAGGACGGAAAGACCCCAUGGAGCUUUACUCCAGCUUGAUACUGGGAUUCGGUACUGCAUGUACAGGAUAGGUGGGAGACUGAGAAACUUGGACGCCAGUCUGAGAUGAGUCGCUGUUGGGAUACCACCCCUGCGGUAUUGGAUUUCUAACCUGCAGCCGUGAUCCGGCUGGGGGACAAUGUCAGGCGGGGAGUUUGACUGGGGCGGUCGCCUCCGAAAGGGUAUCGGAGGCGCUCAAAGGUUCCCUCAUAAUGGUUGGAAACCAUUAGAAGAGUGCAAAGGCAUAAGGGAGCUUGACUGCGACACCGACGGGUGGAGCAGGUAGGAAACUAGGACUUAGUGAUCCGGUGGUAUGAAAGUGGGAUUGCCAUCGCUCAACGGAUAAAAGCUACCCUGGGGAUAACAGGCUUAUCACUCCCAAGAGUUCACAUCGACGGAGUGGUUUGGCACCUCGAUGUCGGCUCAUCGCAUCCUGGGGCUGU
rnacentral:rRNA from 1 species